GAUGAACGCUGGCGGCGUGCCUAAUACAUGCAAGUCGAGCGAACGGACGAGAAGCUUGCUUUUCUGAUGUUAGCGGCGGACGGGUGAGUAACCCGUGGAUAACCUACCUAUAAGACUGGGAUAACUUCGGGAAACCGGAGCUAAUACCGGAUAAUAUUUUGAACCGCAUGGUUCAAAAGUGAAAGACGGUCUUGCUGUCACUUAUAGAUGGAUCCGCGCUGCAUUAGCUAGUUGGUAAGGUAACGGCUUACCAAGGCAACGAUGCGUAGCCGACCUGAGAGGGUGAUCGGCCACACUGGAACUGAGACACGGUCCAGACUCCUACGGGAGGCAGCAGUAGGGAAUCUUCCGCAAUGGGCGAAAGCCUGACGGAGCAACGCCGCGUGAGUGAUGAAGGUCUUCGGAUCGUAAAACUCUGUUAUUAGGGAAGAACAUAUGUGUAAGUAACUGUGCACAUCUUGACGGUACCUAAUCAGAAAGCCACGGCUAACUACGUG
rnacentral:rRNA from 1 species